CAUGAGAACAGCCGCCGCAUUGGCCCGUCGCAGGACGCCCAGCGGGGAUGUCAUAAAGGCUUGGUAGACGCGGAGGCCGCCGGCGGGGGUGAGCGGUGGUGGUGUGGGCGGCUCGCGGGCCCCACCCCUCUCCGGCGGCGGCGGCGGCGGCGGUUCCCGCUCCGCCAGGCCGCCGGGGCUGGCGAGCUCCCUGCGGCGCGCUGGGCGGGCUGCGCGGGGCGGCAGGGGGUCUCGUCUCCCCGUGAGCCCCGUGCGGGCCCGGCGGCGGCAGGUGAAAAAUCCAAAACAUGAACAGCAAUACAUCAUACCUGUUCUCAAAGCUGACUUGGCUGGCAGUGGAACAUAGUUCCCUAGCAGAUCCUCUGGCAAGAAAGUUGUAAGUCUUUUGUAAUGGCCAACAAGAAAGAGCCUCCUUUUUUCAAUGAAGAUAACUUGGGACCGUUUCACUACAAACUUCCUUUUUAUGAAACUAUGGAGCUCUUCAUUGAAACGCUUACAGGCACGUGCUUUGAACUGCGAGUGUCCCCCUUUGAAACAGUGAUUUCUGUGAAAGCUAAAAUUCAAAGACUGGAAGGUAUUCCUGUCUGUCAGCAGCACUUAAUUUGGAAUAAUACAGAACUGAAGGAUGGCUACUGUUUGAAUGAUUAUAACAUUUCAGAAGGCUGCACUCUGAAGUUAGUUCUGGCUAUGCGAGGUGGACCUAUUAAUACUAGAAGAGUUCCUGUGGAAGACCCUAUUAGGGAAAUGGCUGAAUAUAUGGAUCCCAGCAGAGAUGAGAUCUGGGAGAAGGGACCAUCCAACAAACAAGUUACCUUUUUAGUAUAUCGAGAAGGAGAUCAGUUGAAUUUCUUCCGUGUGGUAGACCGGGGAGAUGGCACUUUAACACCAUUAUCUGAGUCUUUGAGUGGUGGUUCAGUUUAUAACUUAUAUGCUGAUGAUGAAGAUGAAACAGAGGCAUCACCUUCUGGCCAGCAGAUUAUUGAGAAUUCAAUUACUAUGAAUAAAAUGAAGCUGCUCAAAGCAAAGAUGGAGAACAUGAAUCUGAGUAAAAAGCCUAAGAAAACUGUCAAAGUGAAACCUCGUCCUCCAGUGACUCCUCGACCAUCUAGUAGCUCAGUGGCUACUGCUGCUCGUCACAGGUUUUUAAGAGUGCUCCCCCAUAUCGGACAGUCCUGCCUACCUCCUCCUGGGAAUUCAUAUCCUUCGGAGUCUUCCCAAAAUGCACUUUCAGCUUUGGCUACUUUGGCCACUGCUGGUAGAACAAUGCCAUCCACAACUAAUGACUUCCUUAAGGAAGAUGACACCUGGCAGAGCACCUCUUGGUCUCAGUCAGUUAGUAGCAUUAGGUUACCACCGAAAAUAUCUCGUGUCGAACUAGAAAAUACAAAACUACCAACAAAUAGUAUUCUGACUCCUGCUUCAUCUCUGCCUACAAAUUCAGAGAAGUCUGAAAAUGUGACCUCUACAAGGGAGAAGGAUUCUAUUCUGUAUGCAAAUCUAACAAAUUUAGAACCAUAUGGAACAGAAGAAAAGCUUCUACCUGAAACUGAUGCUUUUGCUUUGUUAACAGAAGCAAGCACCACUGAACAGUAUAGUGAGAUAUAUGACAUAGGAAAGGUGAAUCCAGAACUUGGACUGUCUGAUAGGGAUGAAGAGUCUAAGGUUGUAGAGCAACAUAGAAAACCUAUUAGUAAAGUGCUGAGCACUACAGCAAUGGAGGCUGGGCUUCUCAGUACUCAUGAAUUAAGUCCUCAGAAGAAUACGCUUUUAUCACCUCUUCGGUAUUCAACACAAGUGGCACAUCACAGUUCUCUGAAACCACAAACACAACCCAAAUGCUUUGAGGUUGGUAACAUGAGAUCUGCAGCCUCUCCAAAUGUGCUUCGAUCUUUGGAAGUCCAUAGUAUAGCAGAUUCCUCUUUUUCUAGGACUACUAGAUUUUGUGGCAUGAAGGUAGAUUCACUAGGCAAAAGACCUGAUGUAAUUCCUAAAGUGGAGGCUAGGGAUGUUACAGAUGUGGCUAACAAAGCAUCCAAAGAACCUGCAAGUUCUGUAAAUAACUUAGGAUUUCUAGCUUCGCUGGCCCGAAGUGGAAGCAGGGAAAACUUACAGAAUUCCUGUGGGCCAGGCAGGCUUCGGACUUCUGGUAUUGCACUGCCUACAAACAUUCAGCGUUUUCAGGAAGAAAGCUUUAGGAAAAUUGCUCCCCCAAAUGAAGCUGCUGAAUACAUUCUAUCUGCACGUGGGCUUGGAAUGAAUGGAAGUGUUGUGGCUGUAGGGAAAAGAGUAGCAGGUGAAGCAAUCCAUCUUCCACCUGUGAAUGGCUCAAUUCAAGCAAAAAAGAAAAUUACAAAGCAUUGCUUUCUUUGUGGCAAGAAAACUGGAUUGGCAACCAGCUAUGAGUGCAGGUAGGCUGAGUAUAUAACCAGCUGUUGUUUAAAAUGGAUAGCUGGGUUAACAGAAAAGGAAUACCAUGCAGCACAGAAAACCUAAGUGUAGCAAAUCAAAAAGCAGAGUUCAAAAAUAUUUAAGAAUUGCGUGUGAUUCACAGUUCAGCAAAACUCCAAGAAACAAGAUUCAGGAAUGUUGUACCUGUUCUGCUGUUGAGUUGUACAUUGUGCCAGAAAAAUCAAAAAGUGCAAGGUGUCAGGAAAUAGUGAACAUAGAGAUGUAAUGUAGAAGACUAGUGUGGGGAGAACUUGUUAAAGAUUUAAUUAUUGUUGAGAAACUUUGCAGAAUGUAAAUCUGUAGGAGCUUGAGGGAAAAAACCUGUUUUUGUUGCAGUUCUUAAGAAAAUCUACCUCAGGUUUGGCCCUGUUAUUACAUGUCUACACAACUUAUGAUUGCCUCUUAUGAAUUUAUAUUUGACAACUUAGUGAUCAAUGUGUUCCAGUUCUUGUGAAACUGCAGUCACUUUUGAGCUUCUAGAGUACCUCAAAAGUAGAACCCUAGUGUACUGGUGCCCCAAAUCAUGGUUUGCCGACAACUUAUUAUCCUUGAGACUUGCUGCUGCUGGUGGUCACUGGAGACCUAAAACAAGCAAAGAAGUAUGUUCCCCUUUUCUCAAAGUACAGUGCUUCCACAACAUGUUCUUUCUUGCUAUCAUUUCCUGUGAGCUAAUAAAGGUUGGGAACUGCUGCACUGAGAGCUGUGUUUGAAACUGAUCUGGGUUAAUGUCAAUCAUCAGCAAAACUGAACAAGAGUCCUGCCACUGGGGGAUUGUGAUGGAGAAUUGCUGGGUGAGAAUCUAUCUGCCUCCUUGUUGACUCUGAUUUUUGUAACGAUUUUGGACAUUACACGCUUCUCUACUGAACAAAUAGUUGUGAGGUUUUUCUAGAAAUAAAACAUUUCUUAUGGUUAAAACUGAAGCACAGAAAAGGGAGAAAACCAUGCAUCUCAAAGAACAGCAUCCUUCUAGUUUCAAAAGGAGCAACCAUGUAACCUUUUACUAGAAUGGAACAUCAGCCAAGUAAGAAAUACAGUUGUGUGAGAGAGGAAACAAUUACAGGAUGAAGAACCAAAGUAAAGCAGAUUUGUUACCAGAUACACAAGCCUCAGGAACAGCUGUGAAGUUUUAUGAACCUAGAUAGAUAAAUAGAGGAUUAUUAUAGUCUAUAAUAUGACGGUAAUUUGGAUGAGCUAUUGUCAACCUGUUUGAAGAGAACUCUGAUUCUGAGUUAUGUCAUUGCUUUACUGGCAAGAAGCAACUUUGUCAAAUGACUUCAGGCAACAGGACACUAAUAUUGGUCUCCUCUUCAAGCAUUUGUUCAGAUCAGAUGUGGAAACAACUUCUGUGCAACUCACCGCUAUGCAGAGACUCAUACCUGCACCUACGACUAUAAGAGUGCAGGGCGAAGGUAUUUGCAGGAGACCAAUCCCGUCG